rnacentral:rRNA from 1 species
CGUAAUCGAUGGAUAACAGGUUAAUAUUCCUGUACUUAGUAUGUCUCGCUUGACUUGAUGGAGCGACGGAGAAAGGUAGCAAAGCCACCUGUUGGAUGGUGGUUUAAACAUGUAGGGGGACUGGAUAGGCAAAUCCGUCUGGUUGUUAACCCUGAGAUGUGAAUACGAGGCGUAAGCCGAAGUUUGUGAUCCUCUGCUUCCCAGAAAAACUUCGCAAGGAGAGAUAUAUUAAUCCGUACCGUAAACCGACACAGGUAGAUGAGAAGAGAAUUCUCAGGCGCUUGGGAGAACUCUAGUUAAGGAACUCUGCAAAUUGGAGCCGUAACUUCGGGAUAAGGCUCGCCCUUGUUGGUGAUAUCACUUGCUGAUAGAGCUGGCGGGGGCCGCAGUGAAAAGGGGGUAGCGACUGUUUAUCAAAAACAUAGGUCUAUGCAAACUCGUAAGAGGAAGUAUAUGGACUGACGCCUGCCCGGUGCUGGAAGGUUAAGAGGAGAGGUG